UUGGCUUAGACUGUGCAAGGUGUUAACUAU
rnacentral:piRNA from 1 species